rnacentral:rRNA from 1 species
UACGUAGGUGGCGAGCGUUGUCCGGAUUUACUGGGCGUAAAGGGCGUGCAGGCGGUUUGUUAAGUGCAGGGUGAAAGCUCCCGGCUCAACUGGGAGAGGUCCUUGCAUACUGGCGAACUCGAGGGAGGCAGAGGAAAGUGGAAUUCCCGGUGUAGUGGUGAUAUGCGUAGAUAUCGGGAGGAACACCUGUGGCGAAGGCGGCUUUCUGGGCAGUAACUGACGCUGAGGAGCGAAAGCGUGGGGAGCGAACAGG